rnacentral:rRNA from 1 species
UACGAACUGUGCGAACGUUAUUCGGAAUCACUGGGCUUACAGGGUGCGUAGGCGGCUUGUUAAGUAGGGUGUGAAAGCCCCCGGCUCAACCGGGGAAUUGCGCCCUAAACUGGCGAGCUGGAGUGAGAUAGGGGUGUGUGGAACUUCCGGUGGAGCGGUGAAAUGUGUUGAUAUCGGAAGGAACGCCGGUGGCGAAAGCGACACACUGGAUCUUGACUCGUGACGCUGAGGCACGAAAGCCAGGGGAGCGAACGGG